GAUGAAGAACGUAGUGAAAUGCGAUAAUUAAUGUGAAUUGCAGAAUUCAGUGAAUCAUCGAAUCUUUGAACGCACAUUGCGCCCCCUGGUAUUCCGGGGGGCAUGCCUGUCCGAGCGUCAUUACUGCCCUCAAGCGCGGCUUGUGUGUUGGGCCCUCGUCCCCCCCGGGGGACGUGCCCGAAAGGCAGUGGCGGCGCCGUGCCCGGACCUCGAGCGUAUGGGGCUUUGUCACCCGCUCUGGAGACCCGGCCGGCGGCCGUCGGACCACCCCAACCUUUUUAACCGGUUGACCUCGGAUCAGGCAGGGAUACCCGCUGAACUUAAGCAUAUCAAUAAGCGGAGGA
rnacentral:misc_RNA from 1 species